rnacentral:rRNA from 22 species
CAACAGGGAUUGCCCUAGUAACGGCGAGUGAAGCGGCAACAGCUCAAAUUUGAAAUCUGGCUCUCGGGCCCGAGUUGUAAUUUGUAGAGGAUACUUUUGAUGCGGUGCCUUCCGAGUUCCCUGGAACGGGACGCCAUAGAGGGUGAGAGCCCCGUCUGGUUGGAUGCCAAAUCUCUGUAAAGUUCCUUCGACGAGUCGAGUAGUUUGGGAAUGCUGCUCUAAAUGGGAGGUAUAUGUCUUCUAAAGCUAAAUACCGGCCAGAGACCGAUAGCGCACAAGUAGAGUGAUCGAAAGAUGAAAAGCACUUUGAAAAGAGAGUUAAAAAGUACGUGAAAUUGUUGAAAGGGAAGCGUUUAUGACCAGACUUGGGCUUGGUUAAUCAUCUGGGGUUCUCCCCAGUGCACUUUUCCAGUCCAGGCCAGCAUCAGUUUUCCCCGGGGGAUAAAGACUUCGGGAAUGUGGCUCUCUUCGGGGAGUGUUAUAGCCCGUUGUGUAAUACCCUGGGGGGGACUGAGGUUCGCGCAUCUGCAAGGAU